GAUGAAGAACGCAGCGAAAUGCGAUAAGUAAUGUGAAUUGCAGAAUUCAGUGAAUCAUCAAAUCUUUGAACGCACCUUGCGCCUUUUGGUAUUCCGAAAGGCACACCUGUUUGAGCGUCAUGAAUACCUCAAUCUCCAUCUUUUCUUCGGAUUGAUGGGUGACUUGGAUGUUGAGCCCUGCUGGUAUGCUAUAUCAGCUGGCUUUAAACUUAUUAGCCGGCUCUGUACUGGAUCGGUUUGACUCGACGUGAUAAUAUUAUCGUUGAGGAUGCAUGUCUCAUGCAGCCGGAAAGUAUCAAAGCAGCUUCUAGCUUGCCUUUAGUGCACUUUUACAUUUUAGACCUCAGAUCAGGUGGGACUACCCGCUGAACUUAAGCAUAUCAAUAAGCGGAGGA
rnacentral:misc_RNA from 1 species